rnacentral:rRNA from 1 species
UACGUAGGGGGCAAGCGUUGUCCGGAUUUAUUGGGCGUAAAGAGCGUGUAGGCGGCCAGGUAGGUCAGCUGUGAAAACUCGAGGCUCAACCUCGAGACGUCGGUUGAAACCACCUGGCUAGAGUCCGGAAGAGGAGAGUGGAAUUCCUGGUGUAGCGGUGAAAUGCGCAGAUAUCAGGAGGGACACCAAUAGCGAAGGCAGCUCGCUGGGACGGUACUGACGCUAAGGCGCGAAAGCGUGGGGAGCGAACAGG